GACGAACGCUGGCGGCGUGCUUAACACAUGCAAGUCGAACGGACAGGCCCUGCUCUUGUGGGGUGCUCGUGUGGCGAACGGGUGAGUAACACGUGUGUAACCUGCCCUUGACUUUGGGAUAACUUUAGGAAACUGGGGCUAAUAUCGGAUAGGAGCUCCUGCUGCAUGGUGGUGGUUGGAAAGUUUCGGCGGUUGGGGAUGGACUCGCGGCUUAUCAGCUUGUUGGUGGGGUUGUUGCUUACCAAGGCUUUGACGGGUAGCCGGCCUGAGAGGGUGACCGGCCACAUUGGGACUGAGAUACGGCCCAGACUCCUACGGGAGGCAGCAGUGGGGAAUAUUGCACAAUGGGCGGAAGCCUGAGGCAGCAACGCCGCGUGCGGGAUGACGGCCUUCGGGUGGUAAACCGCUUUCGCCUGUGACGAAGCGUGAGUGACGGUAAUGGGUAAAGAAGCACCGGCUAACUACGUG
rnacentral:rRNA from 1 species